rnacentral:rRNA from 1 species
CAGUAGCCGCGGUAAUACGAAGGGGGCUAGCGUUGUUCGGAAUUACUGGGCGUAAAGGGCGCGUAGGCGGCCAUUCAAGUUAGAUGUGAAAGCCCUGGGCUCAACCUAGGAAUUGCAUUUGAUACUGUUUGGCUUGAGUUCGGGAGAGGUGAGUGGAAUUCCCAGUGUAGAGGUGAAAUUCGUAGAUAUUGGGAAGAACACCAGUGGCGAAGGCGGCUCACUGUACCGACACUGACGCUGAGGCGCGAAAGCGUGGGGAGCAAACAGGAUUAGAUACCCGCGUAGUCCCUGUCUCUUAUAC